rnacentral:rRNA from 1 species
UACAGAGGUCCCAAGCGUUGUUCGGAUUCAUUGGGCGUAAAGGGUGCGUAGGCGGCGCGGUAAGUCGGGUGUGAAAUCUCGGGGCUUAACUCCGAAACUGCAUUCGAUACUGCCGUGCUUGAGGACUGGAGAGGAGACUGGAAUUUACGGUGUAGCGGUGAAAUGCGUAGAUAUCGUAAGGAAGACCAGUGGCGAAGGCGGGGUCUCUGGACAGUUCCUGACGCUGAGGCACGAAAGGUCAGGGGAGCAAACGGG